rnacentral:rRNA from 1 species
GUGACCUCAAAUCAGGUAGGACUACCCGCUGAACUUAAGCAUAUCAAUAAGCGGAGGAAAAGAAACUAACAAGGAUUCCCCUAGUAACUGCGAGUGAAGCGGGAAAAGCUCAAAUUUAAAAUCUGGCAGUCUUUGACUGUCCGAGUUGUAAUCUAGAGAGGUGAUUUCGGCGCUGGACCGUGUACAGUCUCCUGGAAUGGAGCGUCAUAGAGGGUGAGAAUCCCGUCUCUGACACGGGCUGCCAGGGCUUUGUGAAGCACUCUCGAAGAGUCGAGUUGUUUGGGAAUGCAGCUCAAAAUGGGUGGUAAAUUCCAUCUAAAGCUAAAUAUUGGCGAGAGACCGAUAGCGAACAAGUACCGUGAGGGAAAGAUGAAAAGAACUUUGGAAAGAGAGUUAAACAGUACGUGAAAUUGCUGAAAGGGAAACGCUUGAAGUCAGUCGCGUUGUCCAGGGAUCAACCUUGCUUUUGCUUGGUGUACUUUCUGGUUGACGGGUCAGCAUCAAUUUUGACUAUUGGAAAAAAAUCAGGGAAAUGUGGCAUCUUUGGAUGUGUUAUAGUCCUUGGUUGUAUACAAUGGUUAGGAUUGAGGAAUUCAGCACGCCGCAAGGUCGGGUGUUUUCACCACGUACGUG